rnacentral:lncRNA from 1 species
CAUUCCUCACCUUCGUAACCCGUCGGAGGUCGGCCUAGAACCGAUAUACUCAGCUCGAGACCGAGAACAUGCUUCUCAAUGAACCGCCACAGCCUGCGAAGAAAGAAGAAAUGAAGUUAGAAAAGAAUAGCAAACAUAAAAGUAAUAUCAACGAAGAGAGUUAAAGCUUACCCGAUUCAGAGCUUGCUGCACUUCGGAAAAAGCAGGGAGAGUGGGCGAGUCUCCGAUUACUAUUACCCCAAGCGACUUGCUUGGGGCGUUCUCCUUAGUUCGGAGAGCUUCAGGACC